rnacentral:rRNA from 1 species
GACGAACGCUGGCGGCGUGCUUAACACAUGCAAGUCGAACGGGCCCGCCCCUGUUUUUGGGGGUGGGUUGAGUGGCGAACGGGUGAGUAUCACGUGAGUAACCUGCCCCCUGCUCCUGGAUAACUGCUUGAAAGGGCGGCUAAUACGGGGUGUGCCGGCUGGUCCGCAUGGGCCUGGUCGGGAUAGUUUCAUCUUCGGGUGUUUCGGUGGGGGAUGGGCUCGCGGCCUAUCAGCUUGUUGGUGGGGUGAUGGCCCACCAAGGCGGUGACGGGUAGCCGGCCUGGGAGGGUGGGCGUCCACACUGGGACUGAGACACGGCCCAGACUCCUGCGGGAGGCAGCAGUGGGGGGUAUUGCACAAUGGGCGGAAGCCUGAUGCAGCGACGUCGCGUGAGGGAUGGAGGCCUUCGGGUUGUGAACCUCUUUCUCCGGUGGUGAAGGCCCUGUCCGUUGCGGCGGGGUUGACGGUAGCCGGGUAUGAAGCGCCGGCUAACUACGUG